UACAGAGGUCCCAAGCGUUACUGAGAAUCACUGGGUUUAAAGGGUGCGUAGGUGGUCCGUUAAGUCAGUUGUGAAAUCCCCGGGCUCAACCCGGGAACUGCUUCUGAUACUGGCGGACUUGAGGCCAGUAGAGGUCACUGGAACUGACGGUGGAGCGGUGAAAUGCGUAGAUAUCGUCAGGAACGCCGGUGGUGAAGACGGGUGACUGGGCUGGUUCUGACACUGGAGGCACGAAAGCGUGGGGAGCGAACGGGG
rnacentral:rRNA from 1 species